rnacentral:lncRNA from 1 species
AAAUAAACAAAACUCGUAUAAAUAAUUCAUUGCAUAUUGUGGUCAUCAAUUAUGCAAAUUAACUUAUUGACAGAUUUUGAGCAGUCAUGCCAGAUUUACUAGUGUGCCAACAAAAGAAAAUAUCUGCUCAGUAAGAAAUAAAUGUCAAUGGAAAAUAUGCAUUGAGCUAAAGUCAUAUAUUCAAGGCUAUUAAAUUUACAAAAUAAUAAAAUAAGAAGAACGAGUG